UACGAACUGUGCAAACGUUUAUUCGGAAUCACUGGGCUUAAAGGGUGCGUAGGCGGCUGUCUAAGUAGGGUGUGAAAGCCCCCGCUCAACCGGGGAAUUGCGCCCUAAACUGGAUGGCUGGAGUGAGGCAGGGGUGUGUGGAACUUCCGGUGGAGCGGUGAAAUGUGUUGAUAUCGGAAGGAACGCCGGUGGCGAAAGCGACACACUGGGUCUCAACUGACGCUGAGGCACGAAAGCCAGGGGAGCAAACGGG
rnacentral:rRNA from 1 species